rnacentral:rRNA from 1 species
AGAGACAGCAGCAGCCACGGUAAAACAGAGGGUGCGAGCGUUAAUCGGAUUUACUGGGCGUAAAGCGUGCGUAGGCGGCUUUUUAAGUCGGAUGUGAAAUCCCUGAGCUUAACUUAGGAAUUGCAUUCGAUACUGGGAAGCUAGAGUAUGGGAGAGGAUGGUAGAAUUCCAGGUGUAGCGGUGAAAUGCGUAGAGAUCUGGAGGAAUACCGAUGGCGAAGGCAGCCAUCUGGCCUAAUACUGACGCUGAGGUACGAAAGCAUGGGGAGCAAACAGGAUUAGAUACCCCGUAGUCCCUGUCUCUUAUACA